UCUUACAUCGUCUGGCUUUAAUUACGCGACAGAUCAAGGUGCAUGAACCGCUCCCACCAACACAGCAAACGGGAAUUCCAUUCUCCACCGUUAUUGUUCGUAUUAUAUGCAUUUUCAUCAACCCAAAACUUUUUUUUGGGUAAAUCAACCCAAACCUUUAUUCCACCUUAUUUCUCUUACCAACUGUUGGCGAAAACUCUGUUUUUUAAUUGAUCAUCCACUGAUUUUGCUGUAUUGUAUCAACAAUAUUGUUUUAUUUGAUCCAACAAAAAUGAUUCCUAAACAAGAAAUUAAAAUAGAAGAGAGCACACCAUAAUAUCUAUCGUCAGAACCCCCACAUCCACAUGAGAUACGUCAGAAUCCAGGGAGCAGUAUUUUAUUUCUAAUAAAUUCACUGGUUAAAUAUAAAUUAAUAUGUAAUCAAUUGUAUAUUACUAUGUAGUAUGUAUAAAUUAAUUACAAUCUUUUGGUUAGAAAAUGGGAAAAUGUAUAAGAAAUGGUGGACGAACAAAAAUAAUAAGUAAAAGCAAUAUAGUAUAUACUAUAAAUAAUAGAUGAUGAUUAAUCGGAUCGCACUUGACAUCGAGUCCUAUCGUAUGGCACGCUUCUCAAAGCCGAUCAGUGAACGACUUCAAUCUAUUUGUUUUAUAUUGCUAACGCAUAUUUUAUUUGUUGAAUUUAACAUAUUAUUGAAUACUUUUGUUGCUUAGGGCAUGAUUAUCGGGGUAUUUUGGACUUGGUCUUUAGGUAUUUCGUCCAAAAUAAAAAAUAAAAAAGAUGCGAUAUCAUAAGAAAUUAAGCCGAACGUCCCCCAUUAAGAUGUUUUUGAACUGGUCCUUCGUCACAGGUGGCAGCAUCCGAUUGGAGAAGGUAUCCAUGUAGGACAAAGACCUCUUCUCCUCUCUCACAACUCUCUCUUGUCUCUUCCGUGUCUCUCUCGACAGCGAUAGAGAAUGACAUCCAAAUUCAAGCGUUUCUGGUUUCGAUCGGUGGGGAGCAAUCUUUUCACGUCUCUCACGACUCUCUCUUGUUCUCUCCCGAGCCUCUGUCGACGGCGAUAAGUAACCGACAUCCUCCUUCAAGCCUCUCCGCCAAUUUGAAAAAGAUGGCUUAUUAACCAAAGAAUUGAUGAUGAAAUCGAAAAAUAAAGACUCACCAUCUGCUGCAUCUGACAAGCCGAUAUCAUUCCCAACAUUGAGGAGGAAAACAAACAAAUAAAUUACCAAUUUGCAAAUGGAAAUAGAGAAAAAAAAACAGUCAUAUUUAUUUUUCUUUCAUAACUUGUAUCCUCUAUAUGAUAAUUUUAUUUACCAACCGCAUAAUCUUGAUAUGUCACGAACUAGAUGAAAUAAUAAUCUACAAGAAGAGUAACAAGAAACGUGCUAUUAUUAUUAUUUUUUUAUAAAAAAACUUGCUAUUAAUCUAAGCAAAAUACUAGCAAAUAGUAGUAAAUGGUUCUCACGCUAAAAAUACACACACACAAGCUCUCACUGUUCUUUCGAGAUCUGUCUGCUUCUUUUCGUACAAAAUCACAUUUAAGGCUGGUUUUUUAUUUAAAUAUAAUUAUGAUUUUUUCGUUGGUGGAUGGUUCUUCCCCAUAAUUAGAUAAAAACAAGCAGACAAACCAAGUGCUUCGAUCUUGGUUUUACCUUCUUAUAUCGACACCAACGUAUGCAAAAUCCUACGAAAUGAUGACGCUUCACUGCCACCACUGAGUGCACUCUCUCAAUAAUCAACAUAUCCCUUUUUAACUUUUACCCUACACCACUACAACAAUAAAUACUCAUCCUUGUGAAGUUGUCCUCAGCAUUUACGUAUAAUAUAUAAACACAGCUAACGUUUGUAAUCAGCAAGAUCAAGAAAAUAUAUAUCAAAGAUUCCGUUAUUCUUUUAUCUUUUACCAAUCAUGCAUGCAUGUUCAAUUAAGAAAAACCAUGCAUGUAACUUUUGUAAACAUCAUGAACUGCAUCAUCUUAUUUGGUGAGCUAAAAGGGGGAACAACAACUGUUAUUUCUUGUUUAUGCUUUGCAAUUUCUGUAGCAAGUUCGACUAGAUAAACGAGCCCGUCUCGCAUUUAUACUCUUUUUCGACCAUAAUCGAUCCUGAUUUACUUUCGAUUUGUUUGGGGUUUAAUUAAUUUUGUUAUACAUUUGAUCGUGUUCCAUCUUCGAAAAAGAGUAAGCGGUACUUAUCAAAGCAUAAGUAUCAUCUAUCGUUAUAAUUUCAGAGUUAGAAAUUCAAAGUUGAAGGAAUAUAUACUCGAUAAAAAACUUUGGAAUUCAAGCUAAAAAGCGGGUCCAUUACGUUUAUUACAUCUAGGGAUUCUUUUCACAAUAUUAUUUCAUAGGUUUGGGACUUUAUCAUGACCUUCGUUUUGUUGUUGUUCUCCCUUUUCUCUCUCGAAAGAUCUAUGUGACAGCACAGUGGCAACAAAGGAGGACUUAAAAAAAAACUUAUGAAGGACCACAGACAUAUUACGCAGGACAAAACUUAGGUUCACUCUAUAGGAUGAACUUUUAAAUUCACUUCACCCUUUAUAACCAAUCAAAUUUCUACAUAGAUUAUUAAUUAAAAAUAUUAAAUUAAAUAAAAAUAGCUAUAAAAAUAAAAAUGCUAAUUUUAACGACGCUAACGCUUCCAACGAAACCCUAAACCCUAAAUUUUAAAUUCUAAACCCUAUACCCUAAAUUCUAAACCCAAAUCCAAACCCCUAAACUCAAAUCCUAAACCCUAAUCCUAGACACUAAACUCAAACCCUAUACCCUAAACCCUAAUCCUAGACCCUAAAUCCAAAUUAUAUACCUUAAACCCAAAAAAUAGACUAUAAACCUAAACCCUAUACCUUAAAUCCAAGUCUUAGACCCUAAACCUAAACCGUAAAUCUUAACCCAAACCCUAUAGCAUCUAAGUUUGGGGUUUGGGUUUUAGGUCUAGGAUUUGGGUUUAGGGUAUAGGUUUUGGGUUUAGGAUUUACGGUUUGGGUUUAGGAUUUACCGUUUGGACUUAUGGUUAAAGUUUUGGGUUUAGGGUAUAUAAUUUGGGUUUAAGGUUUAUGGUUUGGAUUUAGGGUCUAGGACUUGGGUUUAGGGUAUAGAAUUUAGGUUUAUAGUCUAGUUUUUGGGUUUAAGGUAUAUAAUUUGGGUUUAAGGUCUAUGAUUAGGGUUUAGGGUAUAGGGUUUGGAUUUAGGAGUUUGGGUUUAGGAGUUUGGAUUUGGGUUUAAAAUUUAGGGUAUAUGGUUUAGAAUUUAAUAUUUAGGGUUUAGGGUUUAGGUGGAAGCAUUAGCGUCGUUAAAAUUAGCGUUUUUAUUUUUUUUAGCUAUUUUUAUUUAAUUUAAUAUUUUUAAUUAAUAAUUUAUGUGAAAAUUUGAUUGGUCAUAAAAGAUGGGGUGAAUUUAAAGGUUCACCUUAUGUUCUGUCCUAUUACGCAUAUAAAUGUCUUAAAGAUAUGAAUAUGAUUGGUUUAUCUCUGUAUGGUAGUGGCCAAGCUGUCUCUCGGUCCAAUGUAUGUUGAUAUUAAUCGUAUUUUGGAACCAAAUGGUAAUCGUAGCGGUGUAAGUAAUUAUGGUAUAGUUUAUGAAAGCGUAUAGAAACAAAUACAGAUUCGUAUAUUUGUAAUAAUUGUUGUUCUGUUAGAUCUCUAACUCUCUAUCUAUCUUAUUAAAACUCAAGUACAAAAUGAGUUUGUUUGAAAAUUUUGAUAUCUUAUUAAAAAGAAGAUUGUUGAGAAUCUUGGAUUGUAGUGUUAAAAAGAGGUUUAGCCAAUCCAUACCUGUCUUUUAAAAGCCCGUCGACUGAAAUUAAAGCUUUUAGGCAUAAAUUUAUCAUUUUUAUCUUCUAUAGCCCAACUAAUUAAAAAUAUAAAUAAUCUCUCAAAAAUCGACUCCCUCUGACAAAUCAAGUAUUACCUUCAUUUUUUCUUUCCUUUCUCCCCACGUAAAAUACACACAAUAAAUAAAUGAUUGAUAAGCAAAAUAUUCUAAAAAUACAAUCAAUUAAAUGUAACUUCCCUAAUUCGUUACCAUCUUUUGCGGAAAAAAAGGUUUUAGAAUCUAACAUUGCAUAAGAAUAUACGAUUAUGUACAAUAACAGAAAAAAUAUGAUGCUAUUUGUUUUAAAAAUAUACGAUUGUGUACGUAUUUUUAUAAAUUUUCAAAUAUAAAUUAGGUUUGUUUGGAAAAUGUAUAGUAAUUUUUUAAAAAAGUUUGUUUGGAAACAUAGAUUGUAGUUUAAAAAAAAAUAUUUGUUUGGAAACAUGGAUUGCAGUUUUAAAAGAGAGGUUUGUUUGGAAAAUUGGAAACAUAGAUUGUAGUAAAAAAAUAUGUUUGUUUGGAAACAUGGAUAGCAGUAUAUUAAGAGAAAAAAGUAAUGGACUUAUAUUUUUAAGAAAAUUUGGAAGUCCAUUAUAUUAUGAGAAACUAUCUAUCUGAUGCCUAAUCGGGUUCGGUUCAGGUCUGUUUGGGUUUCGGGUUUCUGGGGUCAAAGAUUUUAGCCUCAUUCUAAUAUUUCUAAAUUUUAGUUCGGGUUCGCUUCGGAUAUUUACGGGUUCGGUUCGAGUUCGGAUAACCCAUUUACAUUACUUUUAAAAUUUUAAAAUUUAUUAUAUAUUUAUAUACUUUAAAUUUCUCAAAACUAUAAACAAAAUAAUAUAUUAAAUUUAAAUUUAAAUAACAUAUGUUAGAAUACCUAAACUUAACAUAUAAAUUAUUGGGAAAUACCCAAGGAUAGCACUAAAAAAGUUUUGAUCAUAAAUAUAGACUUUAAGAAUCAAAAUAACCAAAAUAUUUUAUUAAAGAGAUAAAUAUACAUUUAUACCCCUAGGAUUAACUAAUCCAAACCUUAGGGUUUAGAGUUAAGGGGUGGAGAUUUCAGAUUGAGGUUUAAAAUUUUAUAAAAUAAAAAAAAAUUUAAAAAAAAAUUUAAAAAAUAGUUUCAAAAAGUAUUUUCGAAUUACAAAAAGAAAUUCUGAAAAAAAAAAUUAAAAAAAAAAUCAAAAAAGAAAAUUUGAAAAAAGAAAUUCAAAAAAAAAUUCAAAAAAAGAAAAAUUUAUAAAAAGUUCAAAUUUGAAAACAUAUAAUUUUUUUUUAAUUUUAUUAAACUUUUCUGUUUUUUUUUUUUUAAUAUAUCUAGGGUAUUAGUGGUCUACUUUUGUGCGUCUAUUCAUGAGAAUUGCCCUAAAUUAUUUUAAUUCAAAUAUUUGGAUCGAGAAUCAAUAAUUAUUUAAAAUAUUUUUGGUGUUUUAAGUAUACUUUUACUAUUUUAUAUAUUUACUAUUGAUCAUUUGUAUAUAUUUUCAAGUAUUUAAACCAGCUUAAAAGUAUCAUAUAUAUUCAGAUGUUUUAUAUAUAUUAAAUCUAAAAAUAAUUAAUAUAUAUAUAAGUAUAUAAAUCUAUUUCAGAUACAUUCGGGUACCCAAAAUAUUUUGGUUUGGAUUGGAUUCGGAUUCGGUUCUCCAAAAACUAAAAUUUUGAAUAAUUCAGAUAUUUAAUCAAUUUUAGUUUGGGUUUGAUACUACUCUUUCGGAUCAAGAUCGGUUCGGUUCUUCAGAUUCGGGUAUUUUACCUAACUCUUAUAUUAUUGACAUGAAAAACAUAUAGACACAUAUUUUUAAAAAUAUAUCCGCGCCGGCGUGCGGAUCAAAGUCUAAUAACUACAUUGAAACACAUACAAUUGUUUCGCACAAUGCAUAGUUUUAGAGUGGGCACUACGUAUGUUACAAUAAGAAGUUAAUUAUUGGAAACAAAUAUCAUAUCAUAUUUUAUUUCCUUAUUUUAUUUAUAAAUACUUGGGUAAGAUACCAAAACUGAGAUAGGUUGCCUCCCAACGCAAGGUAGCAAUACAAUUGUGUUCUUGUCUCAAGCAUCAUUUAUGCUCCUUGCUCCACUAACAACCCAUUUUAUAUUUAUGAUUAAACUAACUCAAUCCAAUUAUUUUCACACAAGUAGUAAAUAAAUAAAAUGCUAACUCCACAGAAAAUUACAUUGUUGUCUGAUUAUUGAUAAGAAAAAGAUCGUCCCACGUGAGAUAUCCCACAAAGGUCCCAACAUCACCACAGAGAGUCUCUGAUCAAUACAAUAUCCUUAAGAUUACAUUUAUAUAGACAUUUUCUUAUAAUAUCUUCUUGGGCAAGUGCACUGUAUUCUUCUGACACAUUUCUAUCAUCUUACCUUUUUAAUUCUUUUGUUUUCUCUUUGAAAUAUUGAAGAAAAUUUGAGAAUUUUUUAAUUUGUUUAUUACAUUAUCUUUUCUUCAAUGCAUUUUUCUUCUUCUUCGCCUCCUCUAUCUCUCUUUAUCAUCUUGGAUAAAUUCUCAUCUUCUAUCUAACAGGAUAAAGUUGAUGCACCGUUCUUUGUUAAUACUUAAUACUGGCGCUAUGCAAUGUAUAUAAAGUAUUUUAUAUCAAAUACAUGGAAUAUAUAUAUUAAUAGGAACAAAUAAAUAUUCGAGAUAUUGUCAAAUUAGCGACAUCUUGUAUGUCAGUGUACUAGUAGGUUCCAACUAAAACUGAACCGAUUAAGUGUUUUUUUUCUAAGUGCUUGAACCGAUUAAGUGUUUUAUAAAAUAUAUUUAAGAUGCAAACAAAAGUCAAAAUCUAGAACACGGAAGCUUGGUAGGAAUGUACUAAAACGAUAUUGUUGAUGUACCAUUUAAGUAAUUUGUAAAAGUGCAGUAAGAUUGGGGAAAGAAUGGGGACACACAAAUAGGUGGGUUGAUAAAGAUUUUUUAUUUUAUUGAAUUAUAGAAUAGUAGGCUUUUAAAAUGGGUAGGUGUUGAAAUACAGAUCCCGAUUUUAUAUAAGUUUGUGUUAUAUGUUGGUUUUCUUAUUCUUUUUUGGGAAAAUUGCUAAAAGAGAACAAAAAAACAAGGUUGUUGUCUUCUUGGUAUAAAACCAACAUGAAGUUGUCUCAAUAGUAUAAUUUUUCUCAUAAUCCCAAAACUAUCCCUAUAUUUAAUCUAAUUAAACACAAUUUAAAAGUUAAUUUGAAUUUAAAAAAGAAGUUAAUGAAAAAAAUGAAAAAAAAAAUUGAAAGGCAAUCGAAAAAAAAAAAAGGUAUAGAUAUGCAUCAUAGAGAACAAGAGUUUGUGAGAAGAAUCAAAAGAAAAACUAUG